UACGUAGGGGGCAAGCGUUGUCCGGAAUUAUUGGGCGUAAAGAGCGCGUAGGCGGUCCGAUAAGUCGGCUGUGAAAGUCAGGGGCUCAACCCUUGAAAGCCGGCCGAUACUGUCGGACUAGAGUCCGGAAGAGGCGAGUGGAAUUCCCGGUGUAGCGGUGAAAUGCGCAGAUAUCAGGAGGAACACCAAUUGCGAAGGCAGCUCGCUGGGACGUUACUGACGCUGAGACGCGAAAGCGUGGGGAGCAAACAGG
rnacentral:rRNA from 1 species